rnacentral:rRNA from 1 species
CGGGGGACAAAGUGACAGGUGGUGCAUGGUUGUCGUCAGCUCGUGUCGUGAGAUGUUGGGUUAAGUCCCGCAACGAGCGCAACCCUUAAGCUUAGUUGCCAUCAUUAAGUUGGGCACUCUAAGUUGACUGCCGGUGACAAACCGGAGGAAGGUGGGGAUGACGUCAAAUCAUCAUGCCCCUUAUGAUUUGGGCUACACACGUGCUACAAUGGACA